rnacentral:rRNA from 1 species
GAUGAACGCUGGCGGCGUGCCUAAUACAUGCAAGUCGAACGAGGUGCUUUUUGUAGCAAUACGAGGAGUAUCCUAGUGGCGAACGGGUGAGUAACGCGUGGGUGACCUACCCCAAAGUGUGGAAUAACAGUCCGAAAGGAUUGCUAAUGCCGCAUGUGGUCUGCGAGUUUAGAAAUCGUUGACUAAAGGAGCAAUUCGCUUUGGGAGGGACCUGCGUCCCAUCAGCUAGUUGGUGAGGUAAAGGCUCACCAAGGCGACGAUCUGUAGCGGGUCUGAGAGGAUGAUCCGCCGCACUGGAACUGAGACACGGUCCAGACUCCUACGGGAGGCGGCAGUGGGGAAUUUUGGACAAUGGGCGCAAGCCUGAUCCAGCCAUGCCGCGUGAGUGAAGAAGGCCUCGGUUG